UGAAGACCCCCCACCCUAGCAUAAUUUAACACCAUUAUCUAUACAAGAGUCUAAAUGUAUCUUAAUAUCAGAUGAGUAUUAGAUUGUAAAUGAAUAUUAUCAAAUAUGACUCAAGUAUGGCCAAUAUAUUUGUUCUAGAAUGUUUCAAAGUGUAUUGGGAUCAACAUUGCAAUACUACUUAGGGAAAUCUUUUUUACUUCUAGGAGGGGGUAGUGGCUGAAAUAAAAAUUGCAGCCCAGUGAUGACUGUUGAUGAAAGAACUUUAGAGACUUGCUAAAAGGAUCCCAGUGGGAUUUCUCGAUACAGUGGCACUUAAAUAGUUUUUAAACGUGCCGUUCAAUAGUGAGUUUAACUAAGAUUUGACUCUGACUAGUAUUGAUUAAUUAAUAUUUCUGGUUUGCAAGUCUAUACUGCCAUAGAAGAAACAAGAUGCUAAAUUUAUAAGCUGUAUGGUGAUACUUGAAUUUGUAACAUUUCUAAAUUUUUCAAAUAUGUUCACUGAGUAACCUUCAUGGGUUGCUACUUGCUUUAACUGUAAUGCAUUUUAAUAUUGGUAUUCCUAGAGUGGAGGGCAUGGAAAAGAACUUCCUUUGCUUAUACAAACACUUCCAAAAGUAGGGAAUGCCCUACUUGGUCGUUUGAGAAAUAAAUGGCUUUGAGCUGGUAGAGAAAUAAGCUUUUGACAUUUGGAAGGCCUAAGGCUUCUGUUCAGCUUUAAGGCUGGACUGAUGCUUAGCUGGCCUUACCUGUAGUUAGGUCUGUCCUGUUCUUACACUGUGAGAAUUCUCUGCUAGCAUGUGGAAGCCAGUGUCCUUGGAGACCCCGAAGUGUGUUGUCCUCCUUCAGUGCGAUCCAUGUGAGACGAAAGCUGCUCUUGGCUAGUUCAUUUGUGGAAAUAGUCCUGUAUUUCGAGGUAACUCUUUUGCUCAUGUCUGCAUCUUUUCUCCCAUAGAGCUCCAUUCUUGUUGCUGCAGCAAACAGACCUUUGUUAUUGGCAAAUUUAUUGGGCAAAUCUAGGGUCUCGUUGGACCCUAGAACCUGGACCUCUUAUCUGUUUGGGGUUUGUUUUUUUUCCUAAUCCUGGGGGGGAGGUUCUGCCAGGCUCCUAUAACUUGACAUUCCACUUCAAGGAGGAGGAAGGCAGUCAGCUAAAACAAUAUUCAGAUCCAUUCAGCCACCUCUCUGUUCUCAUUUUUUUCCAGUCUCUUUGUGUUUUAUGAAAACUUGGAUUGUUACUUGGAUUGAUGUUUCCUAAUAAAAUCUAGUUUGAGUGUGGGAACUUUCUAUUCCCACUUCUUAAGAUAACUUCAUAAUUUUGAACAAGGGCUUAAAUAUGGGAGAAAAAUCAUGUUAACUUGGGGAAUCUUCUGAGGACUUGGUGAACAGUGUCACCUAGGCCUGAAAUAUCCUGUUAAAACUGUAUAAUCAUUUAAAUAUUUUUGAAAUUUUGAAUGAACUUCUUUAAGUGAUACUUAUUGUUUGCAGGGGAGAAGAUUAUAGUGGUUAUUCUGCCCUAAAUAAUAAUCAUUGACCACUGAAAUAUUGAACGAGACUGCUGCUUCACCUAGGAUUUAAAAACCACACUAUAAAGACUUUCUGCUCUAUUUGCUGGAAUAGUGUGACAGUGAACCAGAGGAAGAUAGGAGCCAAGAUUAUCCAAUCAGAUUGCUGGAAUUCACACCUAUCAGGAUUGUUGUAACAAGUGUCAUCAUAACAGACCAAGAGGACUUGUCACUAGGUUGUAUUAGAUUGCUGGAAAUACAUGAAUCCACAAGGAAUAUUUCUGUAACUAGCCAACAUAGUUCUACCUAAGAAUCCAUACAAAAUUGGAAAACAUCUUAACCACCUUACUGAACUUGUAUAUUGAUGAAUAAUUAUUCUGAUCCUGUAUUGAUUUUAGAAGUUGGGGAAAUGGAUAUAUGUAUCUGCAAUAUACCUAAAAGUUAUUAUGAAGAAUGUCAGAUCAAAGUUAGAGAACCUUUAAUGCUUUUGUUUAGAUCAUGCAUUACUGCUGUACACAAGAUUAUUGUUUUUUUAAAAGUAUGUUCUCUGCCCCAAAACAUUUUUUCAUUUCCAAAACUAUCAACAUGGCAGUUUCUAAUAAAAGUGUACUGAUUGAACAAUU